rnacentral:rRNA from 1 species
CCAGGGGGUAGAGCACUGGAUGGGCUAGGGGGACUCACCGUCUUACCAAACCUUACCAAACUCCGAAUACCUGGAAGUAAUAUCUGGCAGACACACGGCGGGUGCUAACGUCCGUCGUGAAGAGGGAAACAACCCUGACCUCCAGCUAAGGUCCCCAAGUCAUGGCUAAGUGGGAAAGGAUGUGAGAAUCCCAAAACAACCAGGAUGUUGGCUUAGAAGCAGCCAUCAUUUAAAGAAAGCGUAACAGCUCACUGGUCUA